UUAAAUAAAGAGGACUGUAAAUAUU
rnacentral:piRNA from 1 species